UACGUAGGCAGCAAGCGUUGUUCGGAAUUACUGGGCGUAAAGCGUGUGUAGGCGGUGCUCCAAGUCCGAUGUGAAAUCUCCCGGCUUAACUGGGAGGGUGCAUUAGAAACUGGAAUGCUAGAGGAUGGGAGAGGUAAGCGGAAUUCCUGGUGUAGCGGUGAAAUGCGUAGAUAUCAGGAGGAACACCUGUGGUGUAGACAGCUUACUGGACCAUAUCUGACGCUGAGACACGAAAGCGUGGGGAGCAAACAGG
rnacentral:rRNA from 1 species